rnacentral:lncRNA from 1 species
UGAAGUAUUAUCAAAGGUAAACAAAAGAUGGUCAUCAUUCUUACAAUAAGGUGAAAUCCCGGAUGUAUUGUGCAGAAAUAAAUAUACAAUCAGAUUACAAGUGGUACAAAAACCAAAGCCGAAAAACGAUUGAUGAACUAUAAGUUCCCCAUCAUGGAGAGAGCUUGAAAAUAAAAUCUAAUAAGUAGAUGGUAUACAAAAGUAGUUAUUAGGGAACAAUUGACUCAUUAGGUAAAUGUCUACAGUUCAGACUUAAGAAACUAAACUUUUCUACCAACCUGGGUCGCAACUCAUUGUUUCAAACUAUUAUUUUCUGUUCUCGAACUAAAGUAUUAUCAUCAUCAUUAGCAGCACAAAGUUUUAUAUAAGAACAAUGGUAAGCUAACUAUCUCAUUGAUAUCUUAAGACUGCUUUGUUUGGUUUUGUUUAUUGGAUUUUGAUUUAUACACUUAUGAUAUCUGCUAUUGUCUUGUUUCUGCUGGCAUUUUGAGGAGUCAUUGGUUUAUUAAAGCUUCUGUUUACUUGUUGGAAUUUAUAAUUUGAAAAUAGCGGAGUUGUUAGUGAUGGUUUGAAAGAGAAUACAGUGAUGUGGGGCGGGGCGGGGCGGUGUGGUGUGGUAGUGUUGUUGUUUCGGUUGCAUUUACUGGUACUUAAUAGGUGGUAUAUUUGAACGUUUAAGUUUAUGGCCAUUGACAAUUAAAUUUCUUUAAUAUCCAAAGUCCUCACUGAGACUUGGAAACUUUGUGACAGGAGUUACUUUUCUGUUUUUUUGUAUAAUUUGUGGCUUCUGGGAAUAUGUAUGCUAUUACUAGAGUAUAGGUGAAAGUCAGUAUGGUGGUGUGUCUGCCUAACUAUUACUAGAGUAUAUAUGCUGAUGCAAAAUAAGGAAAAAAAACUAUUUAAUAUCUAUAUAUUGAUGAGUUGGUCAAUUUAUUUGUUAUGCUUGAUGAAUAUAUGUAGGGGGUGCACUGGGAUUGGCCAUGGGAUUAUCUCUAGGAGCAUUAGACAAUCUCAUAAUACAAGACGAAAAGCAGCAAUUCAUUUUUCCUGAAUAUGAAUUCAAGGAGUAAAAAUAUUAUUUAUAGAGGUUUACACAUUAUUCCUGAAUGUUAUUCAUUUUUCCAGAAUAAUGUGUAAACCUCUAUAUAUAAUAUUUAUAGAAUUCAUAUAUAUAUAUAGAGGAGGGGGGCAAUUGUUCAAAUACAAACCACUAAAAUAAAAAUUAAAAUACAAACCAAGAAAAACUAUAUUUAAACGACAUCACCCACCCCUAUAUGUCAUCACCCACCUAGGGCUAGGGCCCACCAGCGCCCCCACUCAAUCUACCCCGGCCCGAUAGAGCCUCACUCUAGGGCUCUACACACGCUCCAGACAGUCUUAAGAGCCAAAACUUGACCCCACCAUGGUCCUAAUAGGCCCCAUCCGACCCAAUUAGGCCCCACUUAGACCUCGUCUAGGUCCAUCUCGGGGUCUAUCCUUGGUUCCAAAACACUUACCAUUCUACUUGAUUUGAUUGCAUUGGUUUGUAUUUAGUUUGUAUUUUAGUGGUUUGUAUUAGAGUGGAACCCUAUAUAUAUAAAUCGCUCUUAAAUACAAACCACUCUUAAACUACAAAUCAGCCACAAUUAGUAAACGCAAUCACUAAAUAAUUCGAUUAAUCACUAAAUAAAACAAGACAAACCCCAGUCACUAAACGCAAUCACUAGAUUACUUUAAUUAAUCACUAAAUAAAACAAUCACAUUCUUACCCACCCACCCACCAUCUUUACCUCAGUCACCCUCACCCGACCUCUACCACCACCCCCACCACCAUCUCCACCGUCAUUGUCCACCUUUUCAAACAUAAUACCGCCCACUUCACCCCUAUGCUCAUGGCUUCUUCUUUCUCUCUUCAUCUCGAUCAUUUUCUCCCGCAGCCUCUUCGCGAACCUUCGUCUCUUUUCUCCACCUCUAGAUCCAUUCAAUCUAUUAACAAAUAUAUGCUCUUUUUUGUUGUAUUUUUAAAUAAAUUUUUGUCCUUUGUUUGCAGUACAUCGACGAGUUUGGUGGUGACAGUAUGCAAUGAUGAUAGCCGGAAUUAAUGAUGGUUGUGAUGAUUGGAAGGUAAUAUGUAUAUAUGUAUUUAUAUUAUUGAAGAAAAUGAAAUAAUCACUAAAUAUAACUGUUCUAAUCACUUAUAUGUAGGUUUGUAUUUUAAUUAGGUUUGUGUACACACACUUUCUAGGUUUUCAUGUUUGGAGCGGGUUUCGGUUUUGUACACGUAAGAUCCAAAUUCAAAUUCAAAAUUCAGGAUACGAUAAUAUCCAAUCGGAUUGGUCGGGGUAUUUAUGAGAUCAUAUUAUUUUGUCAUCCCUAGUAUUAUGGACAUAAUGCAAGUUAAUAGACAUAAAAAAAAAA